rnacentral:ncRNA from 2 species
CUAGGACUUGUUCGAGAACCUCCAAGUAUAAAAAACUAAGGUAUU